GAAAAAUAAAACUCCCAAUCGCAUCUCCACCUCCAGCGCGCAGCCACCCUCUGCCGCGAGGCGCCGGCCCCAGCCCCGCCGCAGCGCGCCGCCCCCGCCUACCCUGCCGGCACUCCUAACCCAAUUGCCCCCCACGCCUGUGGCGUUCUACCGCCAGCGACACCCCACGCUGCGGCCGUUGCCGGCACGCAUACCCGCGGGCCUCCGUCUCUCCUGCUGCCGCCGCUGCCCCGCUCGUCCAGCGGGCCGGCCCCGUCCAUGGUGCGCAGGGGCUACCCACGCCCUCCCACGCCCGCGCGCGCCUCCUUCUGCCCUUCCGCCGCGGAUGACGCCGCGUCCUGCAGCUCCACGGAUACGUCCUCCACCCUGCCGACUUCUCUGAGCCUGAUGCGAUCCCGAUGGUGGCCGCGCCCUGCGAGAGCCCGCUGCUGCUCGGCCCGACGUCCUGCCGUGGCGAGCGCUUGUCGUCGGAGCUCUGGUCGUCGGUUCCACAUGGGGGGCGCCUAUCCCACUGUGCACUGAUCACUUAAUUUGGCUCUCUCGAGGUGCCCGGCUCCGGCUGCGAAGAUGAUGGCGGCGCCUAGGCCACAGCAGCCACAUGGGAUGAAACUAGCAGAGAUGAAGAAGGCGGCGGUCGUUGGGAGGAGAAAGGUUGCCGGGAAGCUGGAGGACAUGCACCAGCUGCGGCUGCUCAUUUAUCUAUCUGAAUUUUCUGCAAUUCAGAUCCACCAAGGAAGAGAUGGACGAGGCCGUGUUGCUCCUUGCAUCUAUCCGAAUUACUAUAUGAAAAUGAGAGUUACUGGUGAUAUUGACCAGAUUGGAAAUUGGGAGCUUUUCAUAUAGCAAUUCAGAUAGAUGUUCUUGCUAACUAUAUAUGAAUUGCUAUAAGUGGGGUGGGGGUGAAGAUGUUCUUGCUGUCUAUAUAUGAAAUGAAAAACCUGAUGAAGAUCCUUCCGAGGCGUCUCAGAUGUACCUCUUCUCGCACUGAACAGGGCCAUCAAUGGAGCAGUCAAAGAAGCAACACUGCAGUAGCAAAAACAAAUCAUACGUGGCACUCUCCCAGUAUGCGUGCCCAGUAUAUUUCAAAAUGGUAGUAGCUUCUUGUUCUUCAGAAAGUAAAUGUAAACAUCUGUUGUAAGAUUCCAGUACAUGUAAGAUUUUUAUAUGAGAUAGUAGCUGUGUUAUAUUUACAAAACAAGGUUCUGUACUCCUAAGUCUAAUGAUUUGUGCCUCACGUCUGAAUUCAGGUAAAGGCAACCGCUGCUAGCUUCUCUGCCACAGGUGCGAAACCAAACGUAAUCCUUUGCCGAAAACAAUUGUACUAAGCAGUAACACAAUCACCUUUAGGUAGGGGUGAAGGCAGCAGUCAAUGGGUCAUCUCCAUACUCCAGGUUCAGCACUAAUUACUGUUUGAUUAGUGUGGUAUUGCCGAAAACAAUAGUACCAAGCACUAACACAAUCGCCUGAGUAUAUUACAUGGGUAUAGCACUGAUUACUAUUUGACUAGCAUCAGGUUUUGAAUGUAAGACAUUCAAAGUCGGGCUGUGAACUCAUUGGGGUCGUUUCUUAUCAUCAAUGGGGACUGCAUGUUUUGAACAGACCAUUUUUAUCCCAUAUCCAAUAGUUCUGAUGGCAAAUAGACACUGCUUUACUUUAACUUUUUUGUAUGGAGGUGUCCUUUUAGUAAGUUAGGAAAUUGAAAGUGGUAUGUUGCUGUUGCAUUUCUAACACUAAAAGUUGUACUUGAUAAUGAUACCAGGUGGCAUCUUGAGUAUGUGUUAUUUUCUUGAAAUAAUCACCAUUGUUUUGUCACUUGGUCUUUAUCUUAAAAGAUGGAGUACAUAUUGGCAUACACUAGAACAUAGUAACAGGCUUGACGAUCAAAACAUCUGUAUUAGCUAAAACCAGAUGGACAGUGAGUUUAUAUAAAAAAGAAUUGUAUCCCCAUCUGCUUCUCCUGUUCAUUGUAUCCACAGAUUCGGUAAAUCAGCGUAUUGUCUGCUUCUCAUGUCCAGACUUGGUAGUUCACAUCAUACUUGCCAGCUGUGUAUAACUGACUGCUAUUUGAUAGCCCCGUUUACAUGAUAGAUGAGGCAAGGGCCAAGGAGAGGGGAAUUGAGGACCAGAAAGCAUAGGAACAGAUUUUGCCGCAUCAGCCGAGACGAUAACCAAUGGAUAAAAACAGAAAAGAGGGAAAAGAAGCGGAGGAUAAAGAGUUGACCAAUGAUCCGAUCCGUCUUCACUUCAAGGGUAACCUUGUACUUAAUCCUAAGAUCAUAGGUUGAUGUUUGGAUUGAGAAUUACUGUCCGGUUAAGGCAACUGCUAAUUAGAAUCUGAAUACAAAGGUUUUAAAAUCAAAACUAGGUAUAAACAGUUUAGAAUUUGAUAUAGCAGUAAAAGCAAAGUUGUAGAGCAUCUGAAGGAGGCAGUAGUCUGUACUCCCUCCGUCCCACAAUGUAAGAAUAUUUUACAAGCAAGGCAGUAGACAGUACUACUGAAUGUUGAUUCCUCUUUAUAUAAGUGUAAG
rnacentral:rRNA from 1 species